rnacentral:lncRNA from 1 species
CAUGGGUGUGGAUCCAUCAUGAAUAAAUUAAUGCCUUUGCUGUUGGUGGGGGCAGGGAGCAUGGUACAGGGGUGACUGAGUUCCUGCUUUGUUAGUUCCCACUGAAACUGAUUGACAAAAAGGGCCUGGCACCUCUCUCUUCUCUCUCUUUCUCUCUCUCACCAUGUGAUCUAUGCAUGCCUGUUCCCGUCUGCUUGCACUAAGAAUGGAAACAGCCUAAGUUCCUCACCAGAAGCAGAGGCUGGCACCAUGUUUGUUAUGCAGCCUGCAGAACCGCUGGGGACAGCUCUCUGAAAAUAGGAAUAAAUAGUGGCUCCUCGAUAAACACCUUCUUGCCUACAGCAUGUGUGACUGCAAACACAUUCCCACUUCAACUAAUCCAAGACGAGAAGGAUGACAAAAUAAGAGAAAUCAUGGGAAAAACUGCCCAUUUCUGUUUUGUCCACUUUGCUUUGGGAAGUGAGAGCUAUAGUCAUUAUCACCACAUCCCCUGGCAUCCAAUUCCACAUUCUACCUCAGAAGUUAUUUGGAGGAAUCCAAGGACUUAGAUAUUUUACCAAUGUCUCUGGUGAUUUUUAUAUCGGUGGCCCAUGGGUGUUGACCUAUGAAACUGCUCUGCAGCAGAUAUUGAGAAAUAGGAGUUCAGGACAAUGAUCUCUGACCUUGCCACUAAGAGUAAAAAAAUGUGCUGAACACCUUUACUGGGAUACUAGUCACUACCAUCGAACUCCAAGUACUUCAGAUUUGGAACUCGGACUGCUUUCCUUGCUCCUCAGCCUGCAGAUGGCCUAUUGUGGGACCUUGUGAUUAUGUAGUGAGACGAGCAUGAGUGGAGCAGGAGACGGCUGUCCCCCACCCACAAGGAAUAUCAGAUGAUGGUUCAGCGAUCAUCACAUUGCCUCUCUGAAAGUGAUAAAUUGGCAGCUGGCACCAGGGAGAGGCUAUUUCCUGAUGGCCCACACCUGUUGCACUAAGAUGUUAAUCGAAUGCAGAUUCCAGGGAGAAACAACUUCCUGGGCAUGUGCGUAAGAGACAAAAUGGCAGGUAUGACCUUCUGGGGACACUCCACCAGAAAAGGGAAGAAAACCUCAGAUGGGCAUGCAUAUAACUUCCUAAACACACUGCUCACACUCUCCUCCCAAGGGUAAGGAGGGCACUGCACAUGCAGGCAGCCCAUCCUAAGGGAAGCAUCCUGGGAAAGGGGUCAGUCUAUAUGGUUCUGGGAUCAAGAUUAAACACCACAUUAGACCUUCAAGUUGCCCACUUGGGUCUCUUCUAUGUGUAUUUUUCUUUCCUUUCUUUUCUGCUCUAAAGCUUUUUUAAAUAAACAUACACAUCCCUCCUCUGAAACUUGCCUUGGUCUCUUUUUCUGCCAUAUGCAACUCAGUCAAAUUAUUUCUUCUGAGGAGGAAAAAAUUGAGGUAGCUGCAUUCCCAUACAGAUUCACCAUCGGUAACUCAGAUACCUUCUACUGGCCAUAUGUUUGGUGUUCUAUUCAAGAAAUAAUUGCUAAAGCCAAUGUCUUAAAGUGUUUUUCUUAUGUUUUUCUUCUAAGAGUUUUACAGUUUCAGGUCUUACACUUAAGUAUUUAAUUAAUUUGAGUUGAUUUUAUGCAUGGUGUAGGAUGUGUGUAAUAUUCAGUUUUUCUAACACUAUUUGUUGAAGAGACUAUUCUUUUUCCACUGUGUAUCCUUAGAAGCAUUGCUGAAGUGUUGUUG